GCCAUGCCGCGUGCAGGAAGACAGCCCUCUGGGUCGUAAACUGCUUUUAUUCGGGAAUAAACCUACUUACGUGUAAGUAGCUGAAUGUACCGAAGGAAUAAGGAUCGGCUAACUCCGUGCCAGCAGCCGCGGUAAUACGGAGGAUCCAAGCGUUAUCCGGAUUUAUUGGGUUUAAAGGGUGCGUAGGCGGCUUAUUAAGUCAGGGGUGAAAGACGGUGGCUCAACCAUCGCAGUGCCCUUGAUACUGAUGAGCUUGAAUGAACUAGAGGUAGGCGGAAUGUGACAAGUAGCGGUGAAAUGCAUAGAUAUGUCACAGAACACCGAUUGCGAAGGCAGCUUACUAUGGUUUUAUUGACGCUGAGGCACGAAAGCGUGGGGAUCAAACAGGAUUAGAUACCCUGGUAGUCCACGCCCUAAACGAUGAAUACUCGCUGUUAGCGAUAUACAGUUAGCGGCUAAGCGAAAGCGUUAA
rnacentral:rRNA from 1 species